ACCUACGGGGGGCAGCAGUGAGGAAUAUUGGUCAAUGGGCGCGAGCCUGAACCAGCCAAGUCGCGUGAGGGAAGACGGUCCUAUGGAUUGUAAACCUCUUUUGUCGGGGAGCAAAAGACGCCACGUGUGGCGUUCCGAGAGUACCCGAAGAAAAAGCAUCGGCUAACUCCGUGCCAGCAGCCGCGGUAAUACGGAGGAUGCGAGCGUUAUCCGGAUUUAUUGGGUUUAAGGGGUGCGCAGGCGGAAGAUCAAGUCAGCGGUAAAAUUGAGAGGCUCAACCUCUUUGAGCCGUUGAAACUGGUUUU
rnacentral:rRNA from 1 species